GAUGAACGCUAGCGGCAGGCUUAAUACAUGCAAGUCGAGGGGCAGCAUGAGUGUAGCAAUACAUUUGAUGGCGACCGGCAAACGGGUGCGGAACACGUACACAACCUUCCUAUAAGUGGGGAAUAGCCCAGAGAAAUUUGGAUUAAUACCCCGUAACAUAAUGAUGUGGCAUCACAUUAUUAUUAUAGCUACGGCGCUUAUUGAUGGGUGUGCGGCUGAUUAGAUAGUUGGCGGGGUAACGGCCCACCAAGUCUACGAUCAGUAGCUGAUGUGAGAGCAUGAUCAGCCACACGGGCACUGAGACACGGGCCCGACUCCUACGGGAGGCAGCAGUAAGGAAUAUUGGUCAAUGGACGCAAGUCUGAACCAGCCAUGCCGCGUGAAGGAUUAAGGUCCUCUGGAUUGUAAACUUCUUUUAUCUGGGACGAAAAAAGGCUUUUCUAAGUCACUUGACGGUACCAGAUGAAUAAGCACCGGCUAACUCCGUGCCAGCCGCCGCAGUAAUAC
rnacentral:rRNA from 1 species